GAAGUCCUGGGCUGAAGCGAUCCGACCGCCUCCCAAAGUGCUGGGAUUACAGGAGUGAGCCAUCUCGCCCAGCCGAAAAAGUGUUUUUUGAUCUUAAAAUCUUACGUGGAAUGAAAGUGAACAAUGAGGCAAUGAAAGUGGAAGUUUCUCUUAAGCAAACACAGAAGUCAACCAUUCCAGCUUUCUAAGGCGUAGAGGCCCCCGGUUUAUCUUGGAACCUCAAGAGGAGAGAAAAUUCACCCAACUCACAGGAAUGUGGAAUCCAGACCAAAGGAAAGCCAGCCAGUCUAUUUUCAUGGCUGUUAGGUACAAUUUGUAUGCUUGGGAGCUGUGGAGUUGCUGUAUUCUGUCAUAAGGGCAGAUCAGCAGAGAAAGCUAAAGCAAGAGGAGAAUAGUAACAUGGACACAAGGCAGAAAUGCAGAGAUCAAAGAUGGAAAGAGAAUAUAUCCCAGAUUCC
rnacentral:lncRNA from 1 species